rnacentral:rRNA from 1 species
GACGUAGGGCGCGAGCGUUGUCCGGAUUUAUUGGGCGUAAAGAGCUCGUAGGCGGCUUGUCGCGUCGUUCGUGAAAACCCGGGGCUCAACUCCGGGCUUGCGGGCGAUACGGGCAGGCUAGAGUACGGUAGGGGAGACUGGAAUUUACGGUGUAGCAGUGAAAUGCGUAGAGAUCGUAAGGAAGGCCAGUGGCGAAGGCGAGUUCCUGGACAGUGACUGACGCUGAGGCACGAAGGCCAGGGGAGCAAACGGG